rnacentral:misc_RNA from 1 species
GAUGAAGAACGUAGUGAAAUGCGAUAAGUAAUGUGAAUUGCAGAAUUCAGUGAAUCAUCGAAUCUUUGAACGCACAUUGCGCCCGCUAGUAUUCUGGCGGGCAUGCCUGUCCGAGCGUCAUUUCAACCCUCAAGCCCCCGGGCUUGGUGUUGGGGAUCGGCGAGCCUCCGCGCCCGCCGUCCCCUAAAUCUGGUGGCGGUCUCGCUGUAGCUUCCUCUGCGUAGUAGCACACCUCGCACUGGGAAACAGCGCGGCCACGCCGUUAAACCCCCAACUUCUGAACGUUUGACCUCGGAUCAGGUAGGAAUACCCGCUGAACUUAAGCAUAUCAGUAAGCGGAGGA